GGCAGCGGCAGUUCCGCGCGUUGGCGACGCGGUGGCAGCAGAGACCACGGCAAGAACUUUCCUGCCGGAUUGAUGCCGGGAUUCGGCGGGGAACUUUGAGAUCACAGCCUGAAGCAGUGAUGGAGCACCUGGUGAGGGGUGCAGCCCUGCCUGCACAGGUGGAAGCAAUGCAGCCAUGGGGCAGAUGGGGCUGAGCCUGGCUCCACCCCUCCCUCAUAUCAUUUUAAGGGCUGGCAGCCCCACAGGCAGGGUUUCUUCCUGGAGAUGCCUCCUGUGGAUUGCUGGCUCCCUUUAGGUAUCGAAAGGCUGUUACCAGGUCGCCUUGGAGCCUUCACUUCUCCGGGCUGAACAGCCCCAGCUCUCUCAGCCUGUCUUUGGAGGAGAGCUGUUUGAUCCCUUGGUUCUGGUUUUUUUUUUUUUUUUUUUUUUUUUUGUGGCCAUCCUCUGAUGUGAUCCAACAGAUCCAUGUCUCUUCUGCACUGAGGACUCUACAUUCCGACACAAUCUCUAGAUGUGGGAUUGUGCAGAAUAUGGACUCAGAUAAGGGAAGCCUCUUUUCUUCACAGGUUCUACAGGAGCUGAUGAGAACUUUAGAAAUAAAGUGGGAGCUCCAUACUCUGUGGCACCCUCCUUCUUCAGGGAAUGUAGAAUGAAUCAAUCAGAUGCUGAAGAAGCACUUGUCAAAAUUGGUUUCAGAGACCAAAUUACCAUGGACAAAGUGUUUGCCUGUAGCCCUUGUCAGAAUACGAACCACUCACAGAAAAGGCUUAGGAGUAUCACCAUACGAAGUGCUGUUUGGGUGGCUGUACUUGGGAGGGAGGGGUGAGAUGCCCGCUCUUGAAACCAAGGGUAAGUUUCUUCAGAACUGUGUACUCGGGUUGUCUGCUGCUCUGUUAUUCCUUAAGGGAUGUGGACCGUUGGCUCAAACUCCACCUCUGGAAUUUCCAGUGCACUCAUCCCGUGUUGGAGACUGGUCCUAAUACGCGCCUGGCAGAAAUCAAGGCUUCAGCCUGAGUGGGAAGGACUAUUUCAGCGAUGCAGUGUUUCAGAAGAGAGAAAAGCACGGCAGGCGUAAACUGGAUUUCUGUGGUUGGUGAAGCUGUGCUGAGAAGUGGGCUGACUGCUGCCCCUGGAAAUGUGUCUGCAGACUCUGCACCCAGAGGAAUGACUUUUCCCUGCAGGUUGGGCUUGUCUAAGGUGAUUUUUUCACGAGGAAAGAUUUGAAAUGCUGUUUGCUAAUGGAAGAUGGAGAGAGGAAAAUCAAGUCAAAGGCACGCUGUGCAUAGCCAGCACAUAGCAUCUGCACCGCUCUCCCCCUGCACAAAGGAGGAGCAGCUCAGCAAGCUUGGCCUGAGCCCUGGAAGGCAGCAUACGAACAUCUGGACCAACCCCAAUGGAGCUGGUUCUGCAGGUCGGUUGUCUUGCACUGUGUGUCUGCCAUCCUGUUGCUCCGGGGUAGAUUUGUUCAUGUUCAGCUCAUGGAGUUGAGGUCUGAGUUUAAGGCUGUGGGCAUCGUCCAGGAAUUGGGGUAGGGUACGAGGCAAGGAAAAUUGGGGUAAGAGAAUGAGGUUUAGGACCAGGAACCUCUUCCAUCACUAUUAGCUCUUGCUGUUCUCUUUUUGGCUUAGGAAUCCA